rnacentral:rRNA from 1 species
UACGUAGGGGGCAAGCGUUGUCCGGAAUUAUUGGGCGUAAAGAGCGCGUAGGCGGUCCGGUAAGUCGGCUGUGAAAGUCAAGGGCUCAACCCUUGAAAGCCGGCCGAUACUGUCGGACUAGAGUCCGGAAGAGGCGAGUGGAAUUCCCGGUGUAGCGGUGAAAUGCGUAGAGAUCGGGAGGAACACCUGUGGCGAAGGCGGCCCCCUGGGCCGGCCCUGACACUGAGACGCGAAAGCGUGGGGAGCAAACAGG